UACGUAGGGUGCGAGCGUUGUCCGGAAUUACUGGGCGUAAAGAGCUUGUAGGUGGUUUGUCGCGUUGUUCGUGAAAUCUCACGGCUUAACUGUGAGCGUGCGGGCGAUACGGGCAGACUAGAGUACUGCAGGGGAGACUGGAAUUCCUGGUGUAGCGGUGAAAUGCGCAGAUAUCAGGAAGAACACCCGUGGCGAAGGCGGUUCUCUGGGACGGUACUGACGCUGAGACGCGAAAGCGUGGGGAGCGAACAGG
rnacentral:rRNA from 1 species